GCCGCCGUCGUCUAGUGGUUAGGACGCUAGGUUUUCAUCCUAGUAACAGGAGUUCGAUUCUCCUCGGCGGUA
rnacentral:tRNA from 1 species